rnacentral:rRNA from 1 species
AACGAACGCUGGCGGCGUGUUUAAGACAUGCAAGUCGCACGGGAUAAGACAUGUAGUAAUACUUGUUUUAUUUAGUGGCGCACGGGUGAGUAACACGUGAAUUACACGCCCUAUAGUGGGGAAUAGCCCAGGGAAACUUGGAUUAAUACCCCAUGGUAUCGAAAGAUUAAAGGUGGCCGCAAGGCUGUCGCUAUAGGAUUGGUUCGCGCCCUAUCAGCUCGUUGGUGAGGUAACGGCUCACCAAGGCAAUGACGGGUACCUGGUCUGAGAGGACGAUCAGGCACACUGGAACUGAGACACGGUCCAGACACCUACGGGUGGCAGCAGUCGAGAAUAAUUCACAAUGGGGGCAACCCUGAUGGUGCAACGCCGCGUGGAGGAUGACGGUCUUCGGAUUGUAAACUCCUGUCACCUGGGAGAAAGACCUGACGGUAAAUAGCCGGCAGGGUUGAUAGUACCAGAAGAGGAAGGGACGGCUAACUUCGUGCCAGCCGCCGCUGUAA